rnacentral:rRNA from 1 species
UACAGAGGGCUCAAGCGUUGUUCGGAUUCAUUGGGCGUAAAGGGCGCGUAGGUGGCGUCGUAAGUGGGGUGUGAAAUCCCGGGGCUUAACCCCGGGACUGCAUUCCAUACUGCGGUGCUUGAGGACUGGAGAGGAGACUGGAAUUUACGGUGUAGCAGUGAAAUGCGUAGAGAUCGUAAGGAAGACCAGUGGCGAAGGCGGGUCUCUGGACAGUUCCUGACACUGAGGCACGAAGGCCAGGGGAGCAAACGGG